UGUUGGGUGCCCGUGGUGGCCCUUGGGUUACCGUUGGGUGCUCCUGGUGGCCGCUGGGUGCCUGUUGGGUUGCUGCUGGGUGCCCGUGGUGGCUGUUGGGUGCCCGCGAUGGCCAUUGGGUGCCCACAGUGGCUGUUGGGUUGCCGUCGGGCGCUCCUGGUGGCCGUUGGGUGCCUGUUGGGUUGCCGUUGGGUGCCUGCGGUGCCAGUUGGGUGCCCACAGUGGCUGUUGGGUGCCUGUUGGGUGCCCCUGGUGGUGGUUGGGUGCUCCUGGUGGCCAUUGGGUGCCUGUCAGGUGCCUGUGGUGGCCCUUGGGUUGUUGUCGGGUGCUCCUGGUGGCCGUUGGGUGCCCGUCGGGUUGCUGUUGGGUGCCCAUGGUGGCCGUUGGGUACCCUUUGGUUGCCCAUGGUGGGCAUUGGGUGCCCAUUGGGUUGACGUUGCGUGCCCGUGGUGGCCCUUGGGUUGCCGUUGGGUGCCCACAGUGGCCGUUGGGUGCCCGUUGGGUGCUCCUGGUGGCUGUUGGGUGCCCUUGGGUUGCCGUCGGGUGCUCCUGGUGGCCAUUGGGUGCCCGUUGGGUUGCUGUUGGGUGCCCACAGUGGCUGUUGGGUUGCUGUUGGGUGCUCCUGGUGGCCGUUGGGUGCCCGUUGGGCGCCCAUGGUGGCUGUUGGGUGCCUGUCGGGUUGCCGUUGGGUGCCC
rnacentral:lncRNA from 1 species